rnacentral:rRNA from 1 species
ACAUGCAAGUCGAACGGGAGUGAGGGGCAACCCUUGCUUCAGUGGCGGACGGGUGAGUAAUGCGUAGGAAUCUUCCCUAAAGCGGGGGACAACCCGGGGAAACUCGGGCUAAUACCGCAUAAUCUCUAAGGAGCAAAGAAGGGGACCUUUCGGGGCCUUUCACUUUAGGAUGAGCCUACGUCGGAUUAGCUAGUUGGUGAGGUAAAGGCUUACCAAGGUUACGAUCCGUAGCUGGUCUGAGAGGACGGCCAGCCACACUGGGACUGAGACACGGCCCAGACUCCUACGGGAGGCAGCAGUGGGGAAUAUUGGACAAUGGGGGCAACCCUGAUCCAGCAAUGCCGCGUGUGUGAAGAAGGCCUUCGGGUUGUAAAGCACUUUUAGGGGGGAAGAAAGGCUUAAGGUUAAUACCCUUGAGUGUUGACGUUAUCCACAGAAAAAGCACCGGCAAACUCUGUGCCAGCAGCCGCGGUAAUACAGAGGGUGCGAGCGUUAAUCGGAAUUACUGGGCGUAAAGCGCAUGUAGGUUGGUAUUUAAGUCGGAUGUGAAAGCCCCGGGCUCAACCUGGGAAUCGCAUUCGAUACUGAAUGCCUAGAGUAUGGUAGAGGGAAGUGGAAUUUCCGGUGUAGCGGUGAAAUGCGUAGAUAUCGGAAAGAACAUCAGUGGCGAAGGCGGCUUCCUGGAUCAAUACUGACACUAAAGUGCGAAAGCGUGGGGAGCAAACAGGAUUAGAUACCCUGGUAGUCCACGCCGUAAACGAUGAGAACUGGGCGUUGGGGAGCUUUGUCUCCUUAGUGCCGAAGCUAACGCGUUAAGUUCUCCGCCUGGGGAGUACGGCCGCAAGGCUAAAACUCAAAGGAAUUGACGGGGGCCUGCACAAGCGGUGGAGCAUGUGGUUUAAUUCGAUGCAACGCGAAAAACCUUACCUACUCUUGACAUCCCCGGAACCCCUCAGAGAUGAGGGGGUGCCUUCGGGAACCGGGAGACAGGUGCUGCAUGGCUGUCGCCAGCUCGUGUCGUGAGAUGUUGGGUUAAGUCCCGUAACGAGCGCAACCCUCGCCCUUAGUUGCCAACAGGUCAUGCUGGGAACUCUAAGGGGACUGCCGGUGAUAAACCGGAGGAAGGCGGGGAUGACGUCAAGUCAUCAUGGCCCUUACGAGUAGGGCAACACACGUGCUACAAUGGGCAGUACAGAGGGUCGCCAACCCGCAAGGGGGAGCUAAUCUCAAAAAGCUGUUCGUAGUCCAGAUUGGAGUCUGCAACUCGACUCCAUGAAGUCGGAAUCGCUAGUAAUCGCGAAUCAGCAUGUCGCGGUGAAUACGUUCACAGGCCUUGUACACACCGCCCGUCACACCAUGGGAGUGGCUUGUACCAGAAGCGGGUAGUCUAACCUUCGGGGGGACGCCCACCACGGUAUGAUCCAUGACUGGGGUGAAGUCGUAACAAGGUA